rnacentral:rRNA from 1 species
UACGUAGGUGGCAAGCGUUGUCCGGAAUUAUUGGGCGUAAAGCGCGCGCAGGCGGUUUCUUAAGUCUGAUGUGAGGGCCCACGGCUCAACCGUGGAGGGUCAUUGGAAACUGGGAGACUUGAGUGCAGAAGAGGAGAGUGGAAUUCCACGUGUAGCGGUGAAAUGCGUAGAGAUGUGGAGGAACACCAGUGGCGAAGGCGACUCUCUGGUCUGUAACUGACGCUGAGGCGCGAAAGUGUGGGAAGCGAACAGG